rnacentral:lncRNA from 1 species
GUGGGCGGGGUUGUGAACCGAAGAUGGAGGACCGACGGGCGUUGUGGGCAGAGGAGAUGAGACUGCAGGCAGACGGAAGGAUGAACAAGCCGAGGGUGGGUGCAGGGCACAGAGAAGUCGCUGAUGGAGAGAGAUCAAGGAAUCGCAGGCAGGGGGCCGGAAGAAAAGAGCCGCAGGCGGUGGACCGCUUAGAGCAACUGCGAUGGCACCGA